rnacentral:rRNA from 1 species
UGCUGGAGGUAUCAGAAGUGCGAAUGCUGACAUAAGUAACGAUAAAGCGGGUGAAAAGCCCGCUCGCCGGAAGACCAAGGGUUCCUGUCCAACGUUAAUCGGGGCAGGGUGAGUCGACCCCUAAGGCGAGGCCGAAAGGCGUAGUCGAUGGGAAACAGGUUAAUAUUCCUGUACUUGGUGUUACUGCGAAGGGGGGACGGAGAAGGCUAUGUUGGCCGGGCGACGGUUGUCCCGGUUUAAGCGUGUAGGCUGGUUUUCCAGGCAAAUCCGGAAAACCAAGGCUGAGGCGUGAUGACGAGGCACUACGGUGCUGAAGCGACAAAUGCCCUGCUUCCAGGAAAAGCCUCUAAGCAUCAGGUAACAUCAAAUCGUACCCCAAACCGACACAGGUGGUCAGGUAGAGAAUACCAAGGCGCUUGAGAGAACUCGGGUGAAGGAACUAGGCAAAAUGGUGCCGUAACUUCGGGAGAAGGCACGCUGAUAUGUAGGUGAAGCGACUAGCUCGUGGAGCUGAAAUCAGUCGAAGAUACCAGCUGGCUGCAACUGUUUAUUAAAAACACAGCACUGUGCAAACACGAAAGUGGACGUAUACGGUGUGACGCCUGCCCGGUGCCGGAAGGUUAAUUGAUGGGGUUAGCGGCAACGCGAAGCUCUUGAUCGAAGCCCCGGUAAACGGCGGCCGUAACUAUAACGGUCCUAAGGUAGCGAAAUUCCUUGUCGGGUAAGUUCCGACCUGCACGAAUGGCGUAAUGAUGGCCAGGCUGUCUCCACCCGAGACUCAGUGAAAUUGAACUCGCUGUGAAGAUGCAGUGUACCCGCGGCAAGACGGAAAGACCCCGUGAACCUUUACUAUAGCUUGACACUGAACAUUGAGCCUUGAUGUGUAGGAUAGGUGGGAGGCUUUGAAGUGUGGACGCCAGUCUGCAUGGAGCCGACCUUGAAAUACCACCCUUUAAUGUUUGAUGUUCUAACGUGGGCCCCUAAUCGGGGUUGCGGACAGUGUCUGGUGGGUAGUUUGACUGGGGCGGUCUCCUCCUAAAGAGUAACGGAGGAGCACGAAGGUUGGCUAAUCCUGGUCGGACAUCAGGAGGUUAGUGCAAUGGCAUAAGCCAGCUUGACUGCGAGCGUGACGGCGCGAGCAGGUGCGAAAGCAGGUCAUAGUGAUCCGGUGGUUCUGAAUGGAAGGGCCAUCGCUCAACGGAUAAAAGGUACUCCGGGGAUAACAGGCUGAUACCGCCCAAGAGUUCAUAUCGACGGCGGUGUUUGGCACCUCGAUGUCGGCUCAUCACAUCCUGGGGCUGAAGUAGGUCCCAAGGGUAUGGCUGUUCGCCAUUUAAAGUGGUACGCGAGCUGGGUUUAGAACGUCGUGAGACAGUUCGGUCCCUAUCUGCCGUGGGCGCUGGAGAACUGAGGGGGGCUGCUCCUAGUACGAGAGGACCGGAGUGGACGCAUCACUGGUGUUCGGGUUGUCAUGCCAAUGGCACUGCCCGGUAGCUAAAUGCGGAAGAGAUAAGUGCUGAAAGCAUCUAAGCACGAAACUUGCCCCGAGAUGAGUUCUCCCUGAGACUUAGAGUCUCCUGAAGGAACGUUGAAGACGACGACGUUGAUAGGCCGGGUGUGUAAGCGCAGCGAUGCGUUGAGCUAACCGGUACUAAUGAACCGUGAGGCUUAACCUU